rnacentral:rRNA from 1 species
UACGUAGGGUGCAAGCGUUAAUCGGAAUUACUGGGCGUAAAGCGUGCGCAGGUCGUUAUGUAAGACAGAUGUGAAAUCCCCGGGCUCAACCUGGGAACUGCAUUUGUGACUGCAUAGCUAGAGUACGGUAGAGGGGGAUGGAAUUCCGCGUGUAGCAGUGAAAUGCGUAGAUAUGCGGAGGAACACCGAUGGCGAAGGCAAUCCCCUGGACCUGUACUGACGCUCAUGCACGAAAGCGUGGGGAGCGAACAGG